rnacentral:rRNA from 1 species
CUACGUAGGGGGCGAGCGUUGUCCGGAAUUAUUGGGCGUAAAGGGUUCGCAGGCGGUCUGAUAAGUCAGAUGUGAAAGGCCAUGGCUCAACCAUUGUAAGCAUUUGAAACUGUCAGACUUGAGUUAAGGAGAGGAAAGUGGAAUUCCUAGUGUAACGGGGAAAUGCGUAGAUAUUAGGAGGAAUACCAGUGGCGAAGGCGACUUUCUGGACUUAUACUGACGCUGAGGAACGAAAGCGUGGGGAGCAAACAGGAUUAGAUACCCUGGUAGUCCACGCCGUAAACGAUGAGUGCUAGGUGUUGGGGGUCAAACCUCGGUGCCGCAGCUAACGCAUUAAGCACUCCGCCUGGGGAGUACGUACGCAAGUAUGAAACUCAAAUGAAUUGACGGG